CUACAGAGAUGAAAUCCACGAACUCUCUCUUUCUGAGGCUUCAGUGGAGAAAACCUUUACCAGAUUCUGAGUGGC
ensembl:snoRNA SNORD26 Small nucleolar RNA SNORD26